rnacentral:rRNA from 1 species
CAGUCGCCACGGUAAUACGUAGGGUGCAAGCGUUAAUCGGAAUUACUGGGCGUAAAGCGUGCGCAGGCGGUUAUAUAAGACAGAUGUGAAAUCCCCGGGCUCAACCUGGGAACUGCAUUUGUGACUGUAUAGCUAGAGUACGGCAGAGGGGGAUGGAAUUCCGCGUGUAGCAGUGAAAUGCGUAGAUAUGCGGAGGAACACCGAUGGCGAAGGCAAUCCCCUGGGCUUGUACUGACGCUCAUGCACGAAAGCGUGGGGAGCAAACAGGAUUAGAUACCCCCGUAGUCCCUGUCUCUUAUAC